GAGCAAGACACGGCGCUGCAGUGACCUCAUGCUGAGUUCACCAUGGAUAUGGCGUGACAGGAAUGGGUCUCAGUCCACAUGUGGCUGCUUUGACAUUUCAGCGCCCGUGAUAUCACCGCUUCUCCCGACGGUGCCCGGUUGAGAGGUACGUGUGCGCUCACCCACACGACAGGCUGCCUGUGUGCACGUGCAUGUGAGCAAACAGAACACGACUGCGUGACCCUCUGUGCAACAAGACUCUCUGAUGGUGUGUUUAGAAUCAUCCGACUGUUCGGUGAGCCACAACGAACUCAGAGACAUGCGUUACUAUGGAAACGUAGUACAAGCACAGAGGGCAGGACCAGCAGCAGCAAUAAUAGUCACAUAUCCCUGACAAUUCUUACCGGACAGACAAUUUAAGUGUGUUUGUGACGCUAAGAAAAAAAAAAGAACUCUCCGGAAAUUCUGCUGGACCAGUGGGAAACAGGCGGGGGGGGUGUCCCCUUUGAGCGUCAGUGUGUCCAAUGUGCGUCAUGGUUUUGUAGGCAUUUGUCGAAGCCCCGCCCCCAAAUACAUGGCAUCAUGUAAAAGCACAGAAAGUGCUCUAUAGGCCCAUUGGCACUUACCGCUGUAUCACGUACAGCUUGGGAGAUGCACUGCAAAAGGGUACGUCCUCUCGAGUGGACAAAAAUGAACAGAAGCAGCAAGCACAUGACACGGGGGAAUGGCAGCGAGCGGCUUGUGAAGAGCGCGGCUGUGUGCGUCACGCUCUCAGCGGUGUGUGGCUCAAGCGCAUGGUCCUCCUUGUUGCGUGAACCCCCCCAGAGAAAGAACCAUCGCGGAAAAAGUUAGAAUUCCCGCCUGAUGAUGCAGAGGGCCGCGAGCCCACGCUGUCACUGCCGGGCUCCGUUUGGACUCCUGCUCUGUGGUCCACGUGUGAGCCGUCGUCUCCAUCACCAGGCGCACAAGGCAGUCAGCGCACCAACUCACCUGCGCGGUCCAGUCGGCACGAGAGCCGCCAGGACAGCAGAAGCAGGACCCCCGCGAAGCCCAUCUGGCUCCCCAGAA